UGUGACUGCCCAGCAGGUAACGUUGAGGUUUCACCCGGCGCAAUUGUGGCUCUUGUAACCAUAAAUGGCCGUUAUAACCUUGCACUGCCAGUGGUGAGCUGCACCAGCUGUGGCCUAAUGUGGUCCCCCUCAGUUAAGGACAUCCUGGGUAGUGGAUAUUGGCCUGGCACCUUAAAUUUCUGCACCCUGUUUUCAAUGGAUGCCUUUCAGUCUUUCUAUGACAUUAAGAAGGCUGCACCAGGGAUGUCACUUAAGGCAUUUGUCAAAAUGCUGGAUGAACGAACAGCCCAUUUUGGAAGGAAUGGCCGAAUAUCAGCUGAUGCCUUCAGUAAAAGUUUCUUGGAGUGGAGUGCUGUAAAGUUUGAGGUGGACAGGAUGUGCAAGGAGCCAUGCUUUAGCUGC